rnacentral:rRNA from 1 species
GUCCCAGUUCGGAUCGCAGGCUGAAACCCGCCUGCGUGAAGUUGGAAUCGCUAGUAAUCGCGGAUCAGCAUGCCGCGGUGAAUACGUUCCCGGGCCUUGUACACACCGCCCGUCACACCAUGAGAGUCGGGAACACCCGAAGUCCGUAGUCUAACCGCAAGGGGGGCGCGGCCGAAGGUGGGUUCGAUAAUUGGGGUGAAGUCGUAACAAGGUAGC